CUCUCUCCCUCCGCUGCCCACUCGCUCAGAUCUCUUUGCUCUCAGUCACUUUCUCAUUUGUUUGUCUCUCUCGUUCUCUCUCUCGUUCCUUCCUUCCUCGCAGGCUGCGUCUGCCUCUUCUUCUUGCCUCUCUUCCUCUUUUUCAGCCCGGUUCGUCCCUUCGUGUCUUUCUCUCCGUCAGGCACUUUCUCCUUCGCCCCCUCUCCUGGGUUNCCGUCAGGCACUUUCUCCUUCGCCCCCUCUCCUGGGUUCCCGUCGCUCGCUGCUCUCCUUUUUCUCCGCUUCGCCCCUUUUCUCUCUCUGCGCCGGCCCCCUNGCCCACUCGCUCGCGCCUUCCCCUCUCUCCCUCCGCUGCCCACUCGCUCGCGCCUUCCCCUCUCUCCCUCCGCUGCCCACUCGCUCGCGCCUUCCCCUCUCUCCCUCCGCUGCCCACUCGCUCAGAUCUCUUUGCUCUCAGUCACUUUCUCAUUUGUUUGUCUCUCUCGUUCUCUCUCUCGUUCCUUCCUUCCUCGCAGGCUGCGUCUGCCUCUUCUUCUUGCCUCUCUUCCUCUUUUUCAGCCCGGUUCGUCCCUUCGUGUCUUUCUCUCCGUCAGGCACUUUCUCCUUCGCCCCCUCUCCUGGGUUCCCGUCGCUCGCUGCUCUCCUUUUUCUCCGCUUCGCCCCUUUUCUCUUUCUCCUUCGCCCCCUCUCCUGGGUUCCCGUCGCUCGCUGCUUUUCUUUCUCUCCUUUUUCUCCGCUUCGCCCCUUUUCUCUCUCUCCGCCGGCCCCCUUCUCCUGCUGUCGUCCCUGCCCCGGCUGGCUGCUGCGGCCCCCGCAGGCCCCUGGAGCGUCUCUCCCCUCUCGGCCACUUCGUUCCCUCUCUCCGGCCGGGGCUCCGUCUCGCUCCCCAGCUUCCCCCUCCCUCUGUGGCCUCGUUCCCCCCAUCACCCCACCCCCCUUUUCCUUCCUCUUUCCGACGGGCUCCCCCUGCUGAUGGCCCCAGUGAGGGGCCCCCCUUCCCUGCCCCCCAAGGGGGCUGGGCUGAUGGCAGUGAGCGUCUCCCCCCGAUAUCCGGGGGACCCCUGGGGGCCAUAGCAUCAACCCCUCCCUAUGUCCCCCCUUUUCAAAUAACACCCCA
rnacentral:lncRNA from 1 species